rnacentral:rRNA from 1 species
AUAGGUUAAUGAGGCGAACCGGGGGAACUGAAACAUCUAAGUACCCCGAGGAAAAGAAAUCAACCGAGAUUCCCCCAGUAGCGGCGAGCGAACGGGGAGGAGCCCAGAGCCUGAAUCAGCAUGUGUGUUAGUGGAAGCGUCUGGAAAGGCGCGCGAUACAGGGUGACAGCCCCGUACACAAAAGCGCAUAUGCUGUGAGCUCGAUGAGUAGGGCGGGACACGUGGUAUCCUGUCUGAAUAUGGGGGGACCAUCCUCCAAGGCUAAAUACUCCUGACUGACCGAUAGUGAACCAGUACCGUGAGGGAAAGGCGAAAAGAACCCCGGCGAGGGGAGUGA